rnacentral:rRNA from 1 species
UACGUAGGGUGCAAGCGUUAAUCGGAAUUACUGGGCGUAAAGCGUGCGCAGGCGGUUGUGCAAGACAGAUGUGAAAUCCCCGGGCUCAACCUGGGAAUGGCAUUGGUGACUGUACGGCUAGAGUGUGUCAGAGGGGGUAGAAUUCCACGUGUAGCAGUGAAAUGCGUAGAGAUGUGGAGGAAUACCGAUGGCGAAGGCAGCCCCCUGGGAUAACACUGACGCUCAUGCACGAAAGCGUGGGGAGCAAACAGG